UUCAAAAGCUUUAGUUCAUCUUUCCUUCAAAUGGUAUUAGAGCUGUAAAUGAUCUUAGAGGUCCAAGUUUAAUCAUUUACCAUGACUUCCGGUUUCAAUUCAUCUACUCCACCAAAGUUCACCAGAGAGAAUUAUUCUUUCUAGAGUGUGAAGAUGGAGUCAUAUCUCAAAGCUUUCACUCUUUAGGAAGUUGUGGAAACUGACAAUGAACCAUACUCAAAGCUUUCACUUUUUGGGAAGUUGUGGAAACUGACGAUGAACCAGUUCAAAGGACAGCUAAUCCGACACUUGCUCAGAUCAGGCAAUUUAAGGAAGACAAAACAAAGAGUGCAGUGUUUGCCUGGAAUUAAAAAAAACAGCAAGUGGUUGCUCAAUCAACAGUUGAGGUUGAGUACAUUACUUGUGCAGCUGCUGCUAACCAUGCUCCAUGGCUGAGGAAGUUACUGGUUGAGCUAGGAUUCAAGCAAGACAAGGGAACCUUGAUCAAUGUUGACAAAUUUGUCAACAGUUGCAAUUACAAAAAACCCUAUUCAACAUGGAAGGACUAAGCAUAUUCGUGUAAAGUAUCAUGCUUUAAAGGAUGUUGUGAAAGAAGGUGAGAUUGAGUUGCUGCAUUGUUCAACCCUUGAUCAACUUGCUGAUAUCUUCACUAAAAGCUUGGGAAAGGAGAGGUUUGAGUAUUUGCGAUAAUGUCUUGGAGUUCUCCCGAUUAAGAAUUAUGGGGUUGUGUUGAAAGAUAAUUCUCAAUAUGAAAAUCAAGUUGGGUGAACGAAGGUUGAAGGAAGAUCGUUGGAGCCAAAACGGUGUCAUCUCUUGAGUAAAUAGGCUAGUGAUAUAAAAUGUCAAGUUCUCGUAUAAUUUGUUCUUGGUUUUAAAUCGAGUGCAUUCAAAACGGUAUUGCUCUUGUCGUUUCAGGUUGUUUCUUAUUAGUUGAUCUUGUACGCACCAUUUAGGUGCCAUUUUUAUUGUCUCUUCUCAGUAUUUGUUGUAAGGCCAACAACCGUAUCUGUUUCUUUUCCAAUUUACCGUUACGCCACUUCUUGUUUCUUGUGCA